AACCCCUGCAUCCAGUUGCCAUCGGGCGAGCCGGGCACUCUGGAGGGACUGCCGGCGACAAGCCGGAGGAAGGUGGGGAUGACGUCAAGUCAUCAUGGCCCUUAUGUCCAGGGCGACACACGUGCUACAAUGGCCGGCACAGCGGGAAGCGGAGGGGCGACCCUGAGCGGAUCCCUUGAAAGCCGGUCCCAGUUCGGAUUGCAGUCUGCAACUCGACUGCAUGAAGUUGGAAUCGCUAGUAAUCGCGGAUCAGCCAAGCCGCGGUGAAUACGUUCCCGGGCCUU
rnacentral:rRNA from 1 species